GCCCUCUAGCUUAGUUGGUAGAACACAAUGCUCUUAACUAUGGGGUCUUGGGUCAAGCCCCACGAUGGGUG
rnacentral:tRNA from 7 species